rnacentral:rRNA from 1 species
CUACGGGUGGCACCAGUGGGGAAUAUUGCACAAUGGACGAAAGUCUGAUGCAGCAACGCCGCGUGGAGGAUGACACAUUUCGGUGCGUAAACUCCUUUUAUAUAGGAAGAUAAUGACGGUACUAUAUGAAUAAGCACCGGCUAACUCCGUGCCAGCAGCCGCGGUAAUACGGAGGGUGCAAGCGUUACUCGGAAUUACUGGGCGUAAAGAGCGUGUAGGCGGGUUUGUAAGUUGGAUGUGAAAUCCUAUGGCUCAACCAUAGAACUGCAUCCAAAACUACUUACCUAGAGUGUGGGAGAGGUAGAUGGAAUUUCUGGUGUAGGGGUAAAAUCCGUAGAGAUCAGAAGGAAUACCGAUUGCGAAGGCGAUCUACUGGAACAUAACUGACGCUGAGACGCGAAAGCGUGGGGAGCAAACAGGAUUAGAUACCCCCGUAGUC